GCAGUCGAACGGUGAAGCAGGAGCUUGCUCUUGUGGAUCAGUGGCGAACGGGUGAGUAACACGUGAGCAACCUGCCCCUGACUCUGGGAUAAGCGCUGGAAACGGCGUCUAAUACUGGAUAUGUGACGUGAUCGCAUGGUCUGCGUCUGGAAAGAUUUUUCGGUUGGGGAUGGGCUCGCGGCCUAUCAGCUUGUUGGUGAGGUAAUGGCUCACCAAGGCGUCGACGGGUAGCCGGCCUGAGAGGGUGACCGGCCACACUGGGACUGAGACACGGCCCAGACUCCUACGGGAGGCAGCAGUGGGGAAUAUUGCACAAUGGGCGCAAGCCUGAUGCAGCAACGCCGCGUGAGGGAUGACGGCCUUCGGGUUGUAAACCUCUUUUAGCAGGGAAGAAGCGAAAGUGACGGUACCUGCAGAAAAAGCGCCGGCUAACUACGUGCCAGCAGCCGCGGUAAUACGUAGGGCGCAAGCGUUAUCCGGAAUUAUUGGGCGUAAAGAGCUCGUAGGCGGUUUGUCGCGUCUGCUGUGAAAUCCCGAGGCUCAACCUCGGGCCUGCAGUGGGUACGGGCAGACUAGAGUGCGGUAGGGGAGAUUGGAAUUCCUGGUGUAGCGGUGGAAUGCGCAGAUAUCAGGAGGAACACCGAUGGCGAAGGCAGAUCUCUGGGCCGUAACUGACGCUGAGGAGCGAAAGGGUGGGGAGCAAACAGGCUUAGAUACCCUGGUAGUCCACCCCGUAAACGUUGGGAACUAGUUGUGGGGUCCAUUCCACGGAUUCCGUGACGCAGCUAACGCAUUAAGUUCC
rnacentral:rRNA from 1 species